AUUCUCCCGCUCCCCAGACCUCCCCAAGAUGGCGGCGGCCUGUACCCGGUUUCCUCUCCAAGAUGGCUGCGGGCGCGUGUUUGCGCUCCAGACGGAGAAGGCCCGGGAGAGCUUUGGAAACGAACCGGUUUAAAAACAACUGGAGGGAAAUGGGUGUAAUUCCAGCAAGCAUCCUGCUUCCCUCCGACUACGCCGCUGCAGUCGGCUCUGCCCCAGCUCAGCUAGAGCCAGGAGCUGAUGGGAGAAGUUUCAAUCCCGGUGAUUCUCUCAGGAGAUCUGGCAGCUGAUGGGAGAAGCAGAGACUUCAUCUGUGAACCGUGAACGAUGGCACAGGAACACCUCCCUGAGCUGUGACUGGGGAGAUUUGUUCCACCUCAACAAAGAGAAUGUCAGUUUGUAAAUUUUUAAAUAAAGGUGGUCCAGCACGGCAA